rnacentral:rRNA from 1 species
UCAGCUCGUGUCGUGAGAUGUUGGGUUAAGUCCCGUAACGAGCGCAACCCUUAUCCUUAUUUGCCAGCGGGUCAUGCCGGGAACUCUAAGGAGACUGCCGGUGACAAACCGGAGGAAGGCGGGGACGAGGUCAAGUCAUCAUGGCCCUUACGGGGUGGGCUACAAACGUGCUACAAUGGGAAGCACAAAGGGCUGCAAACCUGCGAAGGUAAGCGAAUCCCAAAAAACUUCUCGUAGUCCGGAUAGGAGUCUGCAACUCGACUCCUUGAAGUCGGAAUCGCUAGUAAUCGCGAUCAGAAGUCGCGGUG